GAUGAACGCUGGCGGCGUGCUUAACACAUGCAAGUCGUACGGUAAGGCCCUUUCGGGGGUACACGAGUGGCGAACGGGUGAGUAACACGUGAGUAACCUGCCCACAACUUUGGGAUAACGCUAGGAAACUGGUGCUAAUACUGGAUAUGUGCUCCUGCUGCAUGGUGGGGGUUGGAAAGCUCCGGCGGUUGUGGAUGGACUCGCGGCCUAUCAGCUUGUUGGUGGGGUAGUGGCCUACCAAGGCGGCGACGGGUAGCCGGCCUGAGAGGGUGACCGGCCACAAUGGGAAUGAGAUAAGGCCCAGACUCCUACGGGGGGCAGGAGUGGGGAAUAUUGCAAAAGGGGGGCAAGCCUGAUGCAACAACGCCGCGUGCGGGAGGACGGCCUUCGGGUUGGAAACCGCUUUCAGCAGGGACGAAGCUUUUUGUGACGGUACCUGCAGAAGAAGCACCGGCUAACUACGUG
rnacentral:rRNA from 1 species